GAUGAACGCUGGCGGCGUGCCUAAUACAUGCAAGUCGAGCGAACAGACGAGGAGCUUGCUCCUCUGACGUUAGCGGCGGACGGGUGAGUAACACGUGGAUAACCUACCUAUAAUACUGGGAUAACUUCGGGAAACCGGAGCUAAUACCGGAUAAUAUAUUGAACCGCAUGGUUCAAUAGUGAAAGACGGUUUUGCUGUCACUUAUAGAUGGAUCCGCGCCGCAUUAGCUAGUUGGUAAGGUAACGGCUUACCAAGGCAACGAUGCGUAGCCGACCUGAGAGGGUGAUCGGCCACACUGGAACUGAGACACGGUCCAGACUCCUACGGGAGGCAGCAGUAGGGAAUCUUCCGCAAUGGGCGAAAGCCUGACGGAGCAACGCCGCGUGAGUGAUGAAGGUCUUCGGAUCGUAAAACUCUGUUAUUAGGGAAGAACAAAUGUGUAAGUAACUAUGCACGUCUUGACGGUACCUAAUCAGAAAGCCACGGCUAACUACGU
rnacentral:rRNA from 1 species